GGGGAUGUAGCUCAGUGCUAGAGUGCUUGCCUAGCAGGCAUAAGGCCCUGGGUUCAAUCCCCAGCACCAGCA
rnacentral:tRNA from 1 species